rnacentral:tRNA from 3 species
GCUCGCUUAACUCAGUUGGUAGAGUGCCGCCAUGACAUGGCGUAGGUCACUGGUUCGAGUCCAGUAGCGAGCACCA